ACACACACACACAAGGGUUUUCUUGUUUUUUUUUUUUUUUUUUUUUUUUUUUAAACAAUGAAAAUAUUACUCAAAGAAAAAAAAAACACACACACACAGUGGAAUCCUGUCAUGCUUUUCCACAGCUUUCUUGAACUUCUUGUGUUGGUAUUUUUUUCAAUUAAGAAUAUAUAUCUAUCUGUACAUACAGAAGUUCAAGAAUGCUGUGGGAAGACAUGGCAAAGUCUGGAUUUUUUAUUAUUUAUUUAUUUAUUUAUUUGUUUUUUGGUGAUUUUUUGAUUUUUUUCAGGGUGUUGAUAUUUGCAGAAUUCAUCGGUGGUAGUUAAAUUGUAACUCUGGUGGGGAUGAAGAAGAUGAAUCUCCGGUGCACUACUAACCAUGGUUAAUAAUAUGGUCUACAAGAUCUGUACGCACAUGGUAAUAAUUCUGAUUAUAUUUACUGUUUAAUUCAUUAAUUGCAUUAUUUUAAUUAAUCACAUUUGUUUAAUUUGUCAUGUAUUUUUAUUUUGCCACAAUUAAUUAACUUUUUUGUUUUUUCAUCUGUAGAAAAUGAGUACUGCAUUAUAUAUAUUUUUAUAAUUAAGAUGAACUGUUUUUUCAACAUAAUUAGUAUAUGUAAGAAUUUUGUUUAAUUUGUAGCUCCAUUAAUUUUCUUUGAGCUUCUACAUGAUUCUUAAUUACAUGACUUAAAUCUUUAUUUAUUAGUCUUAAUUUUGCUUCUGGUAAGUGCUUCCUUAAUACAGUGUUUGCAUAAUUUAGGAUUAAUUAUGUAUAUUAAUUUUCAAGGUGAUUUAAUCAAUUCUUCAAAAGUAGUAUAUACAAUCUGAAAUAUGUCAUGCAUGCAUGUCCUUUACUUUACAUCUAUAUAUUUAAUUCUGUGAUUACAUUCCCUUUGCUCUGAUUUUUUUAUAAAUUAUAAUCUCAGGGUUAUAUAUUAUAAGCACUAAUUUAAGCAUUUAUCAAAAAGCUCGAUUCUUAAUUCGUAAGUUAGCGACUUUCGAACUUUUCAAACGCUUGGCAAUUAUAUUUUCGUAUAAUCUUGAAUAUAUAUGCAG
rnacentral:lncRNA from 1 species